CCUGCUCAUACAUAUACAAUAUCAGAACUCUCACUUGCAAGUUGAUAUUGAUACAGGAAAGUUUCCCUUGUCCCCCUCACAGGGCAUGCGAUGGGGACGUGGCUAACUUAUUCAGUGUCCCGAUGCUCAGCAUAUAGCUCCACAGACUGUGGGGCACCGACCCCACGGCAGCAUCUAGGGGUGAAUGUUUACAGCUCUUGAAGCCCCAGUGGCUGCACAUAAUCUCAAUGUUAGAAUGAUUAACUGAAAAGAACACACAAUUUCAGACAAUAUCUCUGGUACCAAGUCAAACCAGGAACAUUCUGAACCUAGAGUUGUUUGAACAAAGACUGGAGAGUACUGCCUUCUUCGACAUACCAGAACCCACAGGAAGAUGGUUCUUGCAAACUGAGUUUCAGAAAUCAUGACCCUGGCAUGAAUCACAAGAUCAUAAAAGCCUUCUGAGAUUCUGCAAACAUGGUAUCUCUAUCUCCUUGACAUUCUCCUGCAGCAUUCCAGACAGGCUGUUGAGAUUGAGGUAGAGAUAGAGUGGGCAGCCUGGAGAAAAUUGUAAAUGUUUGUAAAACCUGCUGAGGAGCUUUGGAGAAGCAGAUGACCCAGACCAAAUAAAAAGACUGCUAAGCUAUUCUGGAGGUUCACCUGAGUUUAGAGGGCAUGGAUUUAUUGUGGCUAUUGCAUUCCAGACCCUUGAAUAUGUUUUCACAUUUAAUCCUCCUGACAUCUAAAUAUGUAAAUAUAAUUUUCCUGAUUUUGCAGAAUUUAAGUCACUAAUAGAAGCUGCCACCGCUAGUUAGAGUUUUGUGGAUGCAAACAACAGAAAAUCACUUUUAUAGAUAAAAGGCAUUUCACUGGAAAAAUAUGUGGAAACAAGAGGGCCAAAACAAAGAGGGAGGUUAAUGAACCAAUAUGUAAAGAACAAAACCAAAGCAUUUCGCAGGCCUCAAGUAGUAAAAACGAAUAGACCGAUUCUUUAGGAUAUAGCUGCCUGUAUAUUCCUUAGUAUCUUUGGAUCACUCCGCCCCAGAGUCCAAUUCUGAGAGAGCAGAUGGUGGGGAGACACUGACUGCCUUAGCCAAAGUCAUACUCUUAGUUGAGAAGCUGCCUCCAAGACUGGAAUACAGCAUUGUGCAGGUUAAGAUGGUUUUGCCAAAGAAAGGAGGCUGGAUAACGGUGAGCAAAGAUGAGCAAAUAUGUCCACAACAGAUCAAAUAGCAGAAUCUCUAUUUGUCAGAUGUGAAACCUAAUGUAUGUUUUUUAGCUAGGUCUGUUGUCAUCUGGAUGAUUAUAGCACAAGUGAAACAGAAGAGAAAGAGAUUUGAGGGCAUUAAUGCUGGAAAUAGUGAUGGAUAAUCACUAUACGUCUGAGCUAGGAAAGAUAAUUUGGAAACCAGAACUGGGACAAGGUGGGUUUAAAUCAAGUUUAGCCUAAAGCUGCCUUCUCACACAUUUAAGUUUGGCCUAAAGCUUUUUCUGUACGUCAUGAACUGUAACAGGUGGAGGGCUAAACCAGCCAUAGCCCACACCUGUGCCAAUCACUGAGUUUUGGCCAAUCAAAUGUAGCCAACUGUUUGAACCGUGUUCAAAUAAGGCAAAUGCCAAGCUGUAACCAAUCCAGUUGUUUCUGUACUUCACUUUUGUUUUCUGUAUGUCACUUUCCUUUUGCUGUCUACAAAUCUUCUUCCACCACGUGGCUGUGCUGGAUUCUCUAUGAAUCUGCUGUGAUUCUGAGGGUUGCCCUAUUUGCAAAUUGUUCAUUCCUCAAUUAAACUCCUUUAAAUUGAACUCGGCUGAAGUUCUUUUGCCAGUGGUAAGAAAUUUCUAAGAAUCUUCUGAGAUUUUCUCUGUUUUUUGAGAGAGUCUCCCUUUUUUUUGAGACAUUUUUGUUUGUUUUUUGUUUUUGUCUUUUUGGUUUUUUUCCUUUUUGUGGAGAAUGGGAUCUCACUAUAUGCUGAGGCAGGUCUCGAACUCCUGGGCUCAAGCUAUCCUCCCGCCUCUGCCUCCCUAAGAGCUGGGAUUACAAGUGUGAUCCACAGUGCCCGGUGAGACAUUGUUUCACCAUGUCGGUCAGGCUGGUCUCAAAUUCCUGAUCUCAAGUGAUUUACCUGCCUCAGCCUCCCAAAGUGCUGGGAUUACAGGAGUGAGCCAUCACUCCCAGCCAGAUCUUCUGAGAUUAUGCCAGAAAUUUUUUUUUUUUUGAGAUGGAGUUUUACCUUUUUGCCUAGGCUGGAGGGCAAUGGUGCAAUCAUGGCCCACUGCAACCACUGCCUCCCCCACCGAGUUCAAGUGAUUCUCCUACCUCAGCUUCCCGAGUAGCUGAGAUUACAGGUACCUGCCACCACACCUGGCUAAUUUUUGUAUUUUUAGUAGAGAUGGGGUUUCACCAUAUUGGCCAGGCAGGUCUCGAGCUCCUGACUUCAGGUGAUCCACCUGCCUCAACCUCCCAAACUGCUGGAAUUACAGGCAUGAGCCACCGCGCCUGACCUAUUAUGCCAGAAAUUCUAUGAUGUAAACCAAGCAAGAGGCAUGCUGUGAGAAAUUGAGGUGCUGUGAAGGGUCAUCAGAGAGCAAAUGAAGUUCCAAUUGGGUUUUAGUUUCAUUUAUUUAUUUAUUUAAAAUAGAGUCAGACACAGUGGCUCACCCCUAUAAUCCUAGCACUUUGGGAGGCUAAGGCUUGAGCCCAGGAGUUUGAGACCAGCCUGGGAAACAUAGCGAGACCCUGUCUCUAUGUAAAAAAAAAAAUUAUUGGAUUAGGCAGGGAUGGUGGCAUAUGCCUGUGGUUCCAGCUACUCUAGAGGCUGAGAUAGGAGGAUCACUUGCACCCAGAAGGUUGAGGCUGCAGUGAGCUGUGUUUACACCAGUGCACUCCAGUCUGGGCAACAGAGCAAGACCCUGCCUCAAACGAAUAAAUAAAAUAAAAUACAUUAAAAUGCUGUCAUUUAUUUCCAUUUACUGGGGGAAAAG